GGAUCCGCUACCGAUUCGACGAAGUUUCUCGAGAUCUGAGAGUUGGGAGGUUGCAGGGAUGGACGGAGAGACGGAGGACGUGGAUGAGGAGGCAGAUGAGUUAGGUGGGAGUGGGAGAGGGACGGCAAGUGGUGGGUCAGAUCUGGGGAAUGGAUCAGGUUUGGGGAUUGGGAGUGUUAGGUUGGGACGACGACGGUUGGUUGAUUGGGC
rnacentral:lncRNA from 1 species